CCUGCCCCUAGAAACAUUGUGGGUGUGGCUGCUGUGUCACAUGUGCGUCAGUAGGUGGCAGAGAGGAGAGAGGCUAUGUCUACGCUCAGAUGUUCUGACCUAUGAACAUGAAUGAUUAGUAGCCUAACAUUC
ensembl:snoRNA